rnacentral:misc_RNA from 1 species
GAAAUGCGAUAAGUAAUGUGAAUUGCAGAAUUCAGUGAAUCAUCGAAUCUUUGAACGCACAUUGCGCCCUUUGGCAUUCCGAGGGGCAUGCCCGUUCGAGCGUCAUUAAAUCCACUCAAGCCUGGCUUGGUAUUGGGCGGCGGGACUCGCCCGCGCCCCAAUUUCGCCGGCUGACCGCCCGUCUCCUUCAGCGUUGUGACAACAGUUUCGCUAGCGGGAGCGGUGGUCACGCCGUCAGAAUCCACGAGUCGCUCCGGCGAUUUCAUCAAGAUUGACCUCGGAUCGGGUAGGAAUACCCGCUGAACUUAA